AACCCAAAAAUGAAUAUUUUUCAUAUAAUCGUGGGGAUACGGCCUGCAAGUUUCUACCGGUUUACCGUAAAUAAACUGACUAUGGAAAAGUAUUAAAAAGCU
rfam:Oceanobacillus oncorhynchi strain Oc5 genome assembly, contig: CONTIG000001